rnacentral:rRNA from 1 species
AACUUUCAACAACGGAUCUCUUGGUUCCAGCAUCGAUGAAGAACGCAGCGAAAUGCGAUAACUAAUGUGAAUUGCAGAAUUCAGUGAAUCAUCGAGUCUUUGAACGCACAUUGCGCCCCUCGGUAUUCCGGGGGGCAUGCCUGUUCGAGCGUCAUUAU